rnacentral:rRNA from 1 species
GAUGAACGCUGGCGGCGUGCCUAAUACAUGCAAGUCGAACGCUGAAGGAGGAGCUUGCUCUUCUGGAUGAGUUCCGAACGGGUGAGUAACGCGUAGGUAACAUGCCUGGUAGCGGGGGAUAACUAUUGGAAACGAUAGCUAAUACCGCAUGACAACAGUUAUUGCAUGAUAACUGUUUAAAAAGGGCAACUGCUCCACUACCAGAUGAACCUGCGUUGUAUUAGCUAGUUGGUGAGGUAACGGCUCACCAAGGCGACGAUACAUAGUCGACCUGAGAGGGGGAUCGGCCACACUGGGACUGAGACACGGCCCAGGCGCCUACGGGAGGCAGCAGUAGGGAAUCUUCGGCAAUGGACGGAAGUCUGACCGAGCAACGCCGCGGGAGGGAAGAAGGGUUUCGGAUCGUAAAGCUUUGUUGUAAGAGAAGAACGAGUGUGAGAGUGGAAAGUUCACACUGUGACGGUAUCUUACCAGAAAGGGACGGCUAACUACGUG